rnacentral:rRNA from 1 species
UACGUAGGGACCGAGCGUUGUCCGGAUUCAUUGGGCGUAAAGAGCUCGUAGGCGGCCACUCAAGUCGAAUGUGAAACCUCGAGGCUUAACCUCGAGCCUGCAUUCGAUACUGGGCGGCUAGAGUCCGGUAGGGGACCAUGGAAUUCCUGGUGUAGCGGUGAAAUGCGCAGAUAUCAGGAGGAACACCGGUGGCGAAGGCGGUGGUCUGGGCCGGCACUGACGCUGAGGAGCGAAAGCGUGGGGAGCGAACAGG